UUGAGGGUCCUAAAGGGCCGUUGGAGACCACAACGUUGAUAGGUGGGGUGUGUAAGCGCGGCGACGUGUUGAGCUAACCCAUACUAAUUACCCGUGAGGCUUAACCAUACAACACCCAAGAAGUGUUC
rnacentral:rRNA from 2 species